rnacentral:rRNA from 1 species
CCAACCUGCCACAGUUCCCGCCAUCUUGGUGCUACACACCGGGCGCCGGCCUCCACCCCAUGCUGCCGCUGCCUCACCCCGGCUCCCUCCUCGCUGCCCCUCCCCCGCUUAGUCCGCCGCUGCUCCGGCUUAGCUACCGCCCCUCUUUUCCUCCUUUUUAGGCGGCUAAGCGCCGAAGUCCGCCGUCGGCUGCUGCCUGCAGCUUUGGCUGUCGCCCCGCUGCUGCCCCGGCCUAAACCGCGUCCCCACUGAUGCAGCACCCGCCCGCCGGCCGCUGCCACCACACCGCCCUCCACUCUCCUUCUGCCCUCCCUUCACUUUCCUUCACAACAUAAAAUGUAGAAACCCUCCGCCUCUACAUUGGAAAAAACGUGGGAAUACCCGAGGCUUCUACGUUUUCAAUCCAUAAAAAUGUACACGUAAAGACAACCCUACGCUGGCCGCCCCACGACCGCGGCCAGCUGGCCGCGGAUCGUGGCGGGAAAGGAAACUGCGCAGCUAUCAACAACGACAAGGGUGUGGUGGCGGGUGAUGUGUGUAAGCUGCUUUAAGGGGGCGUAGAGGAAGCUAAGGAAGGAGUCAAACAGAGCCUUAGGCGGUUCUAGCUUCCAGAGCGGCCUUGGACCGCGACCGGCAUGGCUGGGGCCGACCUAGAGGCACGAGUUCUCAAUAACUACCAAGAACCCUAGGUCUCCCGCACCGCCUCCUCAAGAGCCGCUACUCGUCCGACCGCAGCCUCGAGGUGGCCAACGCCUCCAGCGGUACCCUCCACGACACGAGGCGCGACCAUAGUACGCCGGACCACGAGAAGAGCGUCGAGCGGCACCGGUAUCACGGGGCGGAGGAGGGUAGGUAGAGGGAGGAGCGGUACGAGGGGCAGCGUCCAAACCAUAAGGACCGCCGAUAAGACCACCCGUCCAAGACCUCCUCCAAGUAGCCUCACCGGCGCAGCCGCGGCGACAAGCACGACAAGUUACACGACAAAAACACCCCGCAGAUGGAUAAGCAGUAGGCCUCUCUAUGGAGAAGAGAUGAUCUGUACGACUAAUUACGACUCACACGUGACGAAGACACCCCUGAAAUGUCCUAAGAAAGACCACUAGGGCCGUAACAACGUAUGCUUAGAAGUAAAAACCUUCUCCGACCGACGUUCCUAAAGCACCUACGAUAUACGAGCUCACUCUUCAUGGGUAGUGAGAGUUCCCACUCCGUAACAUUGACAACGUUUCGUUUACAAUCUCCAAUACUGGUGGUAACGGGACGUAAACCAUUAACGUAUCCUGUCUUUUUAGUAUCCAAUAAAUACCGUGAAGACUGUCCUAAACAACAACGACUUAGCUGUAUAUGUUACACAAGUUGAUUUAUAUAUUGAUCUACGUAUUGGAGUCCUUGAAAUUAUUGACUCUUAGUAAACAGAGAUUUGUACCACUAGCCGUGUUACGAGAAGAGUCAGGAGGUUCACCAUACCGUCCAACACAAGGACUAUACCGUACACAUGCCGUAGACGAAGUUGUAGUCCUGCGUACUCACCCAUUACAGUUUAAAGGGUACGAAACCUGAGAAAGAAGUGGUUAACGUCCAGCAGAAGAGCAAACGACAAAGAAUAUCGAUUCUCCACUCUAAAUAGGUCUAUUUGACCUUCUUUAUAGGACUUAAGGUUUACUUCCUUGUCGGAGUCAGUCUAAAACUUCAGUUCAAACAGUUAGGUAUGCUGUUUCCGUACGAAACAUUGUAAUCCCUCAAGGACUUCGGCAUUAUUAUGUUCAUAUUAGAUUUUGCGUGGCUCUGGCCUCUUGUGGGUGAGUUCUAAGGACUUCUAUAAAAAACGGACAAUGACAUUGUGACUAAGUAUAAGUAACCAAACACAUAGUAAACCUGACACCGUCAAGUCUCAGACGGAACUAUGCUCGUUAAUUGUAAAAAACUUUUAGGAGCAACUUGCGAUAGACGUACGACUACUUACGGCGCAGCGACGUUUACACUAAACCCGUGGGCGUGUUCAUACCACUAGUCAAGUAGUCAUACCGUUAGUCCGAUAUAAUGACGUUUACCAUGAUAAUGUAGAGUAACAAAGCUCCCGAUGUGGAAACUCGUCCAGCACGACAAGGAAUCAAAGUUUUAUUCACAGUACCAAAAUCAAAGUUAAACUGCUUCCG